UACGUAGGGGGCAAGCGUUGUCCGGAAUCAUUGGGCGUAAAGAGCGUGUAGGCGGCCCGGUAAGUCCGCUGUGAAAGUCCAGGGCUCAACCCUGGGAUGCCGGUGGAUACUGUCGGGCUCGAGUCCGGAAGAGGAGUGUGGAAUUCCUGGUGUAGCGGUGAAAUGCGCAGAUAUCAGGAGGAACACCAACGGCGAAGGCAGCACUCUGGGCCGGUACUGACGCUGAGGAGCGAAAGCGUGGGGAGCAAACAGG
rnacentral:rRNA from 1 species